rnacentral:rRNA from 1 species
CCUACGGGCGGCAGCAGUAGGGAAUCUUUCACAAUGGGCGAAACCCUGAUGCAGCAACGCCGCGUGAGCGAUGAAGUAUUUCGGUAUGUAAAGCUCUAUCAUCAGGGAAGAAUAUGACGGUAACUUACUAAGAAGCCCCGGCUAACUACGUGCCAGCAGCCGCGGUCAUACGUCGGGUGCGAGCGUUAUCCGGAUUUACUGGGUGUAAAGUGGGCGUAGACGGAGAUGCAAGCCAGAUGUGAAAGCCCCGGGCUCAACCCAGGGACUGCAUUUGGAACUGUGUGGCUGGAGUGCAGGAGAGGCAGGUGGAAUUCCUAGUGUAGCGGUGAAAUGCGUAGAUAUUAGGAGGAACACCAGUGGCGAAGGCGGCCUGCUGGAAGGUGACUGACGCUGAGGCUCGAAAGCGUGGGGAGCAAACAGGAUUAGAUACCCGAGUAGUC